UAGGGAAUUUUCCGCAAUGGGCGAAAGCCUGACGGAGCAACGCCGCGUGCACGACGAAGGCCUUCGGGUCGUAAAGUGCUGUCAGAUGGGAAGAAGGUGUUCCAGGCGAACAGUUUGGGAUGCUUGACGGUACCAUCAGAGGAAGCCACGGCUAAUUACGUGCCAGCAGCCGCGGUAAUACGUAAGUGGCGAGCGUUAUCCGGAAUUACUGGGUGUAAAGGGAGUGCAGGCGGCCUUUUAAGUCACGUGUUAAAUUUCCCGGCUUAACCGGGGACCUGCGCGUGAAACUGGAAGGCUUGAGUGGAGUAGAGGAAGCUGGAAUUCCUAGUGUAGCGGUGAAAUGUGUAGAUAUUAGGAAGAACACCAGUGGCGAAGGCGGGCUUCUGGCCUUUUACUGACGCUGAUACUCGAAAGCCGGGGGAGCAAACA
rnacentral:rRNA from 1 species